GAAAUGCGAUAAGUAAUGUGAAUUGCAGAAUUCAGUGAAUCAUCGAAUCUUUGAACGCACCUUGCGCUCCUUGGUAUUCCGAGGAGCAUGCCUGUUUGAGUGUCAUUAAAUUCUCAAUCUGCUACAGCCUUGUGUUGUUAGUUGAUUGGAGGUGGGGGUCUUUGUGGGUUUACCUAAUGUGAAUCUGCUCCCCUAAAAAUUAUUAGCUGGAAUGCCUUUGCAAACCAAGACUAUCAGCAUGGUAAUUAUCUACGCUGGUGUUAUUGCAAAAGGGUAUCUGCUUUCAAACUGUCAUUUUGACACUAUGAAUCAAUUUGACCUCAAAUCAGGUAGGACUACCCGCUGAACUUAA
rnacentral:misc_RNA from 1 species